rnacentral:tRNA from 1 species
GGGUCAAUAGCUCAGUUGGUUAGAGCACCGGACUCAUAAUCCGGCGGUCCUUGGUUCGAGUCCAAGUUGACCCA